rnacentral:rRNA from 1 species
CUUAGGAUGAACGCUAGCUACAGGCUUAACACAUGCAAGUCAGGGGCAGCAUUCUGAGAGCUUGCUUCAGAGAUGGCGACCGGCGCACGGGUGAGUAACGCGUAUCCAACCUUCCCCAUAGUAGAGGAUAGCCCGGCGAAAGUCGGAUUAAUACUCUAUGUUAUUCAAUGCGGACAUCUAAUUUGAAUCAAAGAUUUAUCGCUAUGGGAUGGGGAUGCGUCUGAUUAGCUUGUUGGCGGGGUAACGGCCCACCAAGGCUACGAUCAGUAGGGGUUCUGAGAGGAAGGUCCCCCACAUUGGUACUGAGACACAGACCAAACUCCUACGGGAGGCAGCAGUGAGGAAUAUUGGUCAAUGGACGAGAGUCUGAACCAGCCAAGUAGCGUGCAGGAAUGACUGCCCUAUGGGUUGUAAACUGCUUUUAUGCGGGAAUAAAGUCAGGUACGCGUACCUGUUUGUAUGUACCGCAUGAAUAAGGACCGGCUAAUUCCGUGCCAGCCGCAGC